ACACUCUGAUGAGAGGGCAGGACCUCUAAGGAGAAAGACUGUGAUGACCUUCAGGGACCCAACCAUAGACCACACAGCUCCCAGCCUUCACUCAUCCUGGGUGACGUGGAAGCAGCAGAGCUGCUUCAAGGUCCCCAUGCAUGAGAUGAUGAGCAUGGCAAGGACAGUCCUGGGGCUGAAGGGGCAUGGGCUCACCCCUACUUCCUGACUCUCCACAAACUUUCUGGUUCCUGUGCAACUCUGUGGGUGGGGGUGGGGGGCUUGAAUAAUGACUGAAAACUAAGGGUGAUAUCUGCUCAGCAGGAUGGGUUCUCUGAGUCAGAUUUCACCUGCUUUGAAAGCAUUGACAGACCUGAUGUCCCCACACCUGCCCCUCAGGUCAGAGCCUCUGGGAGUCUCUUGAUGACCCAGAGUGAGGUCCUGCUUCCUCCCUAGUGGUGAUACUUGUGUGGCCCUUGGCUGUCACAGCUGGUUCAAGAAAAAUGACCCCUUUCUAGACUUCAGCCAUCUGAAAACUCAGUGAAGUUGGCACCUCUCUCCUGGCCCACCAAGCACAACAGGUCUCAUCCAAAUGGAGCAAGACAUCACCUGCCAGGGCCCUACUUCCCACAGGUUCUCUGUGCGUGUGGUCUAUGGUUGGGUCCCUGAAGGUCAUCACAGCACUGACUAGAAUUGUGUCCCCUCCCCAUAGCUGUGCCCAUGCCUGAUGUCCUGGCGUGACUUCAGGUCCCUAGUGUCUGGGGUACCAAGAACAUAAACCUGGUGACCCCUUGUUCUUUUAUUAGUGUCACUGCAGUGCUGAUAUGCAGGAGGGAUUGACUGGCAGAGAACAACAAAGCACAAACUGAGAAAGGACUGAUGGCCACACUCCUGGAGCCACUGGUCUGCUUGCCAAGAAAGGAGAACUGUUUCCUUUGUUUGGGCUGCUGAAACAAGGUACUGCAGACUGAGGGGGCUUAAACAACAGAAAUGAAUCUUCUUUCACCUCUGGAGGCUGGAAGUUCAAGAUCAAGGUUUCAGCAGGGUUGGUUUCUUCUGGGGCCUCUCUCCUUGGUGAGUAGAUGCCCGUCUUCAUGUUCACACGGUGCUCUUCCUUCUGUGUGUCUGCAUCCAGAUUUCCUCUCCUAAUGUGGACACCAGUCGUAAUGGAGUAAGGCUCACCUUAAUGACCCCUUUUUAACUUGAUUACCUCUGUAACGGCCAAAUAAGGUCACAUUGUCUGAGGCAGUGGGGGUUAGCACUUCAACAUGUGAAUCUGGGUGGGAGACACAACCCAUCCUAUGAUAGCAGCACUGAUUUGAAUCCCCUGGGGCUCCAUGAUUUCAUUUUCUCCAUGGAGAAAGAAUCCAGGAUGUCUAGAAAGCUCUACCUUUUUCAUUCCUCCUGGAUUUGGUCUAUUGCAUCAUUAGGGCAAACACUGGACAAAAGAGGGCAUGAAUCACAUAGGUGUGUGUGUUUAGUGAAUUUAGAAGAGACCAAAGAGCCCCAAUCAUGCUGUUUUCCAGCCACAAAUGUGAAUAGUUCACAGCUAACUGACUCUCCUAGAGGGAUUUCUUUGGUCUACAGAUCAGUGUCCCAACCCCUGCCCCUCAAGACCUCCAUUCCUAUUAUUUUUCACCUCUUUAGCAUUAAAUCACCCCUGUUGCCUCUUUCAUCUCCACCCCUUCCAAAAGGGGAGCCCCAUCACACCAUGGGUGUUGGCCCCUAUAAGGUCACAUGACCCUCAUACCUUAGACCAUUUCUUUGCAACUUUUUAUCUCUGCAUCAGAACCACACCCUGAUCAGAAGAUGUUCCCAUCAUGCACUCUACUUUGAAAAUGCUUUCAGACCCAUUUGAUCUUUGCAUCUGGAGGAGGAGGAAGCAAACAAAACUUUAUCAAGCUUCUCCAUAUUUCAGGCUUACUGUUAUUGGUUUUACAUCUGUGGUUUCUUUAAUCAUCACAUCAGCCUAUGGCAUGGUUGUGCAUUAGGAGAAAAGAUGUCAUUAUGAUGCAGAAGCCUGCCAGCCCCGACCUCACCCCACUGAUGUGCUGCACAGAGAGGGGGUGGGGUGGUGACCAGAGAGGCCUGAAUAUCAAGUGACAUUGAUCUACAGAGCAAAUCAAUGUAGAUCUCAGGAAGAAGACAGUGUUCUUGAAGGUGGGGAGGGGGAGGUAAGCAGAGAAGUGGGGGUGGAGAGGGAGACCAGGCAGCACAAGGGGGUCACCUCCGGGGAGAGUUUUAGAAAGUUGUUCUGGGUGUUGCUGGUGGGCUUCCUUCCUUGCUGUGCUGUAAAUGGCUCUUGUGAUGUCUGGAGGCGACAGAGAGCUGAGAGUGGGCUUGUCACCUUUGGGUGUAGCUGCUGUGAAUGCCACUGUAGAAAUGAAGAAACUGGGGCUCAGAGUGAUUGAGUCACAGCUCAUCAAUGACAGACCCACAGAUUAAUUUUGGGUUGGUCCAACUGCAGUCUGACACGUGGCUAACACUCCCUUAAUGCUAGUGUGGAUCUGCUUACCUUGCCCAUUUCGGCCAAAUACGAAACGGAGGCACUGCCGAGAAUGCGACUUUCCCCUGGCCCAGCAGCUUUCUGAGGUGAGGUGAGCAAGAUCACGUCCCUGCUCUGCACGAACUCACGCCCCAACUCCCAAGGCACACAGUACUCCAGGUGUCUCCAUAGCCCCUCCCCACCCUGCUGCAGUCUGCAGAGAGGACCUUCUUCAGUCUCAAGAAGUAUGUACCACAUUGACUCCCCAGCUGUAGAACUCCCAGCCUAUUACUUUGUAUCUGUUCACAUUUCCAAGUAUUUCCCACUUGCUUUUUUAUCAACAACAGUGUAAUAAAACACUUUUCCGGGUUCUAUCUCCAAGGAAAAGCGUGGAAGCUUUAAUUUCCUCUCCCAGCUUAAGGAGAGCAAACAAGUCCUAAAGCCAGCAUUCUUUAACUUCCACCGCUAUGGUUUCUGUCCCUUAUUGGGUUUUCAAACCAAACAGUCAGGUUAUAAAGCAAAGUAAAAUUGCUUUUUAUCCCUAAAUCCAAAGCAAUUUCAUAUUCAGAGCCCUGUGGGAACAAAGCCUUCCCCGAUGGAUGAUGAGGCCUCCCACACAAAUGGAUUAGGCUGGCAUCAAUGCUUUAAGUGCUGCCUCCUGACCCUGAGCCUCUCCUUCCUCUCUCAGGCAUCAUGAGGAGAAAGAGGGAGCGGGGUCUGUCUCCUCCAGAAGAGCCAGACUUUGGAAUAGGGAAUUAUGAGCCAUCAUUUCAGGGAGGCUUGGACGGUGCCCUCCCCAAGCUAAUAUAGUUCCAGAAUCCCACCAUCUAAGUUUGUUCCUUGGGUUGAUGGAUUAUCUCCCAUCAAAGUGCAGAUGAACCUCAGGAAUGGAUUGCUUGUGCCCUUCCGAAGGGAUGGGUGAUAGCUUCCAUUGCCCUCAGCUGAUCGAAAGGGAGUUGGGUUCAGAUCCCUGAAUCCAGAGUAACAGCAGUUGAACAUGGGUCAGUCGGUCCUGAGAGAUGGGCGAGUGCCAUUCUGAAGAAAUGGAUUGCUUGUGCACAGAGAGAACUAGUGGGUAGAUGGGCAGGUUUUAGAAUGACACUUGGUCUUGUCCUGGCUCUUCCAUCUCCUGGCUGUGUGACCUGGCAUGGAAUACCUAACCUCUCUGUGUGUGCAUGUGCUCCUGUGCACACUGAGGAUAAGGAGAAGCUGCAUAAUAGAGAUUACAGACUUAAAGUCAUUAGGACAGAAUACAUGCUGGGUCAAUACUAACUGCAUCCCAUACAUUUUGAUAUGUUGUGUUUUUUUAUUUAAUUCUAUGUAUUUUUCUUUUUAUUUAAAAUUAUUUUACUGAAUUGUUGAUUUACAGUGUUCAUUUCUUCUGUACAGAUUCAUGAAUCAGAUAUAUAUACAUAUACACACACACACACACAUAUAUAUACACACACACACAUACACACACACACACACACACACACAUUCUUUUUCAUAUUCCUUGCCAUUAUGGUUUAAUCACAGGAUACUGAAUGUAGUUCUCAGUGCUAUACGGUAAGACUAUAGCACUUGGUUAUCACUCUGUACACAAUAGUUUGCAUUUGCUAAUCCCACAAUCCCAAUCCAUCUCUCCAGGACCCCCCUCCCCUUUGGCAAACAAAAGUCUGUACUCUGUGAGUCUGUUUCUGUUUCAUGAUAAAUGCAUUUGUGUCGUGUUUUAGAUUCCACAUAUAGGUGAUAUCAUAAGGUAUUUAUUUGUAUUUGUAUGACUGACUUCACUUGGUAUGAUAAUCUCCAAGUCCAUCCAUGUUGCUAUAAAUGGCAUGAUUUCAUUCUUUUUAUAGCUGAGUAGUAUUCCAUGGCGUAAACACACACACACACACAUACACACACACACACAUCCAUAUCCUCGUUAUACAUUAUUUGCUAAUGAAGAUUCAGGUUGUUUCCAUGUCUUGGCUAUUGUGAAUAGUACUGCUAUGAACAUAGAGUUGCAAGUAUCUUUUUGAAUUAGUUUUGUUCAGCUAAAUCCCCAGGGGUGAGAUUGCUGGAUCAUAUGGAAACUUUCUUUAGUUUUUUGAGGAAACUCUAUUCUGUUUUCCAUAGUGGCUGCACCAAUUAUAUUCCUCCCAACAGUGCAGGAGGGCUCCCUUUUCUCUAUACCAUUUCCAGCAUUUGUUAUUUGUAGACUUUUUAAUGAUGGACAUUCUGACCAGUGUAAAGUGCUACUUCCAAUUUUAUGUUUUAUAUUUUCUUUGAGAUCAUUGUGAUUCAGAGCUAGACUCUAAAGCCAGACUGUCAGGAUUAGAAUCCUAGCUCUGUCACUUGUUAGCUGUGUGACCUUGGGCAAGUGAAGUAACUAUCUUGUGCCUCAAUCUCCUUAUCUGUAAAGAGGGAUCAAAGUUGUACCUUGGUCAUAAGAGUUGUUGGUGAUGAAUGACUUCAUGUAGAUUAAAGUACUUGGAACAGUGCCUGGCACUUACUAAGUAAGUAUUACAUACAUAUGUGGAUUACCUCCUGAGCACCUUUUCCCUUUUGCUAGUUAUAUUUUAAAUAAACAGCAUUUCUUUAAUGUAAAUGUUAAAUGGAUUAACAUUCCCUUAUCUCUUUUGAAUUUUGAUGUCUUUGGUAUCUAUUUGGCAUAUCUUCUCCUCUCCCCUCCAAGAAACAUCCAGUGUUUUUACCUAUUGAAAUGCCUCAGCCUGUUACAUCAUAGAACACAGUGAACUUUCCCAUGAUAAGAUCACAGCAUUUCUGAAAAGCUGCCCAGAUGAGCAUUUAGGGGGACAGAUUUAGUCUAGUGCUAUUUUUUUUUUCCCCAAACUGUAUCUCUUGGAUCUCUGAGGGUCAUGGGAUGAACUUCAGAGAUUCUUAAAAAUGAAGCCUCACUGUGACAGACAGGACUCAAGUGUCUCAUUUUAUCAACACCAAACUCUCCCCCAGAGCCCAGUCUAUAAAGCAGAGAAAGUUUGUCCUUGGCAUAUUCAAACUUUCAUACCCUCUAUUUUCACUUCCCUGACCUGGGCAAGAAAAGCUUCGGGGCAGAUGUCUGACUAUAGUCCUCUUCUGUGAGUCCCUUCCAUGUGGGCUGCCAUGUUGGAACCUUGAUCACAUGACCUGGAGGCCAACUGAUUGGACAAAGGCCUAGCUGUGGCCAAUAGCUGAUUGGUAGGCAACCACAGCGGCACCAGAAGAGGGACCUGCUGGGAGUCAAGUGAACAUUAAGGCAGAUGGCAUCUCAGGACAUCUUUUGUGGUACAGUGACUGCCCCCAAAGGCUCUCUAGUUCCUACACUCCUUUCCUGUAUCCAUGAGGCCUGACUCUAAAAAUAUUUCUGGGGUCCUACUGAAGCUUACCCAUGCAAUCUGUGUCUUAGCUUCUUUUAUUCCAGAACUAUCCUAGUAAAAGCAGUGGCUUGAGUGCAGCUCCAUUCUUGACACCUAAGACUGGCACGCUUAUUGUAUAAUCCUGUGGACACUUUUGCUCCCCUGUUCUUGGCCUGUGGCCCUGACCUAAGUGCCAUACAUAGUCCAGCCAUCAACUAGUCCCAGUCCAUGGUCACUUGAGACUCACCAGGGGACCCGGGCCUUCAAACCCAGUAACCUCCCAUCAUUGCAUUAUAAAGUCUCUCUUUUGCCCCCUUGAGGCCCAGCCUGUGAUGGGGCUUGAAAAGUAGCCCAGUUGGAGUUUGUCCAAUGGUGGUAGAAAGAUGAAAGAAAAAAAUCUGACCAAAUGAAUAGAGGGGGAUGGAGUAGUCCUGUGCUUGAUUUUAGCCUUUUCUUUCCCUGAAGUUCAAGGCUGUGUUGUUCCAUGAAUCACAUUUCCCUGUUUGUGCUUCACCUAACCCAGGGGAAGUUGUAGCAGUAACCACUUGUGCCCCCUGAGCUAAUGCUCGGUGUGCACCUUCCACAUCCGGGCACUGUCCUAAGUGUUUGUCACACCCUGACCCUCAAAAGAAUCCUCUGAGAUUGGCCUAGAGUGGCCCCAUGUAGAUGUGGGCAACCUAGAAGCACAGAAGUGUUAAGUAACUUUCCCCACAUUGCACAACUAGGAAGCCAGAGUCGAGAUUGAAACCUGAAGAGCCUGCCAUUUAUCUGCAGGGUAACAGCAGGGGCAGAGCCCUCCUCAUCCAGCAGUGUGGUCCCCAGGGAUGUUGGGAAACCAGCCCCAGGAAGCUCAGAUCCCCUCAGAGGGAAGAGAAAGGGUGGGCCCUUUUCUUGAAGUUGAAAAAAAAAAUCUGCUCCCAGGAGUUCCCAGGAGUUCCCGUCAUGGCUCAGCGGAAACAAAUCUGACUAGAAUCCAUGAGGACCCAGGUUUGAUCCCUGGCCUUGCUCAGUGGGUUAAGGAUCCGGUGAUGCCAUGACCUGUGGUGUAGGUUGAAGAUGAGGUUUGGAUCUGGCAUUGCUGUGGCUGUGGCAUAGGGUGGCAGCUGUAGCUCUGAUUCGACCCCUAGCCUGGUGUGGCCCUAAAGUGGCAAAGAAAAAAAAA
ensembl:lncRNA